CAAUGUUCCACAACCUAAUAACUUAGUAUGGAGCGCCAAAGCAAGUACCAUUAACCAACAUCAACCCAAUACAUGCAGUCCAAAGUUCAUCUCUAGUAGCUAUGAACCCUUAUCUCAGCUUGAGGUUCAAAAACUUCAAUGCACAAAUGAAGAAAUGUUUCAACCAAAAGUUGGCCCCAACAUGAAAACGAUGAGACAGAAGACAUGGGUACCAGAUUUACAGUUAAGUUUAAGUCACGAUUUCAGCAAUGGCAGUGUGGUAAAUGAUAGCCAAGAAAGCAGGAAAGAUUUUGAAUCAAUGCUUUCUCUUUCGUUGUCCUCCUCUUCGGCCAGGCAACAAGAACAAUCCACUACACCUACGUCAAGAAUUCGACUCUCGGUUUCAAGGACUUAGGUGUUCUUGAAAAGAAAAAAAGAAAAAAGAAAACAUUAAGAUAUUACCCAAGU